UGGGGAAUAUUGCACAAUGGGCGCAAGCCUGAUGCAGCCAUGCCGCGUGUGUGAAGAAGGCCUUCGGGUUGUAAAGCACUUUCAGCGAGGAGGAAGGUGGUGAGCUUAAUACGCUCAUCAAUUGACGUUACUCGCAGAAGAAGCACCGGCUAACUCCGUGCCAACAGCCGCGGUAAUACGGAGGGUGCAAGCGUUAAUCGGAAUUACUGGGCGUAAAGCGCACGCAGGCGGUUUGUUAAGUCAGAUGUGAAAUCCCCGGGCUCAACCUGGGAACUGCAUUUGAAACUGGCAAGCUAGAGUCUCGUAGAGGGGGGUAGAAUUCCAGGUGUAGCGGUGAAAUGCGUAGAGAUCUGGAGGAAUACCGGUGGCGAAGGCGGCCCCCUGGACGAAGACUGACGCUCAGGUGCGAAAGCGUGGGGAGCAAAACAGGAUUAGAUACCCUGGUAGUCCACGCUGUAAAACGAUGUCGAUUUUGGAGGUUGUGCCCUUGAGGCGUGGCUUCCGGAGCUAACGCGUUAAAUCGACCGCCU
rnacentral:rRNA from 1 species